rnacentral:lncRNA from 1 species
CCAAUCCGCUAGCUGUCAGUCACCAGGCUCUUCAUCGACCACGGUAUGACCCCAUGAACUACCAACAUAGAUAACCAAUCUAACUUCCAAGAUAACAUGUCUACGUGCUAUUAGUUAGUCUUCUCUAUAAUAUGCAUGCGUGUCUUCUUUAAGGUUUUUGUUUUCUCGAAAUUUGGUCGUUCUAGGACAGGUUUGAUCCUCUGUUAACCAUUUAACAUAUACGAGCAAAGCUUAUCUUAGUUUUUUCGAAGAACAAAAUUACUUUACUUAAUUACUUGGUUGAAUACCAACAACAUGUGCAGAUAUGUUUGAGCAGACUCAUGUACGUGUGUUCCUGGUCUGCAGGUGAAAGGUUUGAGUCAUUUCCUGCUUCUAGGAAAUAUUGCUUUCUAGAAGUGUAUCGCGUAAUCUAAGCAAAUACAAGUAUCCAUAACCUGGCAUGUACAAGGCAUUGAAUCCAAAUGAAUAUGUUAUAUGCUGACAUAUUGUAGUUUAGGAUGUAACGGUUUGGCAUAGGACUUUCUCAGUUUUGGUUUUAUGUUGUUGUGUUAACGGGUUUUGCACAAACAUAAUGGCUUAGCUCUGAAUUUGGGUCCUCGGGAUCAAAAUAUUACUGUUAUAAACAGUCUAAUCAUUUUCCUUCUACGAGUAAGGUUCUUUGGUUAUCAUCAGUAGAAGUGGAGUUGGAUUCGUUGAUAGAUGUUAAAUGCUGGUCAAGGAUUGUUCUCUCUCAAUGAUGGUUGAUUGAUCUUGCGGUGGCCGUUCUAUCGUGCUUCACAUGGAUGCAUCUUACAAGUUUUGCCGCCUCACUCUGUAGCCUUCAAGUUGCGGUUGUAUGAAGGAUGAACAUGUAUCUCAUUUUUGGAAGGCAAACAUGUCUCAUUUCCUUGCUUUGUGUCACAUUGCAGUAAUAAUUUAAUUAUUGGAAAAAAUAAUAUGUGUUCAUCUCUGACAUCAAGCAAAAACUUUCUUGAAAUCCUUUGAAGGCUACAUGAAAUAGCUUCAGAGUGGUCAUAAUAAACAUGUACCUAUUUGGAGAUCUUAUAUUAAGAAGUAGUCCUACUCGAUAUAUUCA